AUUUGUUAUUUCCAAAGCUAAUAUCAAUGUGUGGCUGUUGUUCUGUUUUGUAGAAAGCACAGAUGUCUUGUUUCAUGUAAAACCUCAAACCAACCUGAGUGUGUUUUCUCUUUAGUUCUGACCUCACUGCUGAGCUGCACAACAAACCAAGCCUCUCUGACUGUGAGUCCCAGCAGCUCUCAGCUGUUUGAAGGACAGUUUGUCUCUCUGAGCUGUGAGGAGGACGACAGCUCUGCUGGAUGGACGCUGAGGAGGAACACAACCAGAGGAACCAGGACUCAGUGUGACGACUGGGGAGGAGAACCAGCUGGUUCUUCCUGUGACAUCAGCUACAUCGCUGCAUGGGACAGUGGAGUUUACUGGUGUGAGUCCAGAGAGGGAGCAACCAGUAACACCAUCAACAUCACUGUCACUGGUGGACCAGUGAUCCUGCAGAGUCCUGUCCUCCCUGUGAUGGAGGGACAUGAUGUCACUCU